rnacentral:rRNA from 1 species
CCCCUAAAAACCGACGUCCCAGUUCAGAUCGCAGGCUGCAACCCGCCUGCGUGAAGUCGGAAUUGCUAGUAAUCGCGGAUCAGCAUGCCGCGGUGAAUACGUUCCCGGGCCUUGUACACACCGCCCGUCACACCAUGGGAGCCGGUAACACCCGAAGUCAGUAGCCUGACCAGUUCUGGAGGGCGCUGCCGAAGGUGGGAUUGGUGACUGGGGUGAAGUCGUAACAAGGUAAC